AUUGAACGCUGGCGGCAGGCUUAACACAUGCAAGUCGAGCGAGCGGCGGACGGGUGAGUAAUGUCUGGGAAACUGCCUGAUGGAGGGGGAUAACUACUGGAAACGGUAGCUAAUACCGCCUACCUUCAGAUGAACCCAUAUGGGAGUAGCUAGUAGUUGGGGUCAUGGCUCACCAAGGCGACGAUCCCUAGCUGGUCUGAGAGGAUGACCGGCCACACUGGAACUGAGACACGGUCCAGACUCCUACGGGAGGCAGCAGUGGGGAAUAUUGGACAAUGGGCGCAAGCCUGAUGCAGCCAUGCCGCGUGUGUGAAGAAGGCCUUCGGGUUGUAAAGCACUUUAAGCGAGGAGGCGUUACUCGCAGAAGAAGCACCGGCUAACUCCGUGCCAGCAGCCGCGGUAAUUC
rnacentral:rRNA from 1 species